AUGGACGUUAAGUCGGCAUUCCUCAAUGGCGACUUGAAGGAGGAAGUCUACGUGCAUCAGCCACCGGGGUUUACGAUUCCCGGCCAGGAGGGCAAGGUGCUCCGCCUGCGCAAGGCUCUCUAUGGCCUGCGGCAGGCACCCAGGGCGUGGAACGCCAAGCUGGACUCCACGCUGAAGAAGAUGGGUUUCGAGCAGAGCCCGCAUGAGGCUGCCGUCUACCGACGGGGGAGUGGAGGAAAUGCCCUGCUGGUGGGCGUCUACGUUGACGACCUGGUGAUCACCGGCACCAAAGAUGCAGAGGUGGCGGCGUUCAAGGAAGACAUGAAGGCCACGUUCCAGAUGAGUGACCUGGGGCUCCUCUCCUUCUAUCUAGGGAUUGAGGUGCACCAGGACCACUCCGGGAUCGCGCUUCGACAGUCCGCCUACGCCAAGCGCAUUGUUGAGCUAGCUGGGCUCACCGACUGCCAUCCAGCUCUCACUCCGAUGGAGGAGAGGCUGAAACUAAGUCGCGACAGCACGACGGAGGAAGUGGAUGCUACGCAGUACCGACGCCUUGUGGGGAGCCUUCGCUACCUCACUCACACACGGCCGGACUUGGCAUUCUCCGUCGGCUAUGUCAGUCGGUUCAUGGAGCGACCAACCUGGCAAUCAGUCAAGCAGCAGGUGGUGGCCCUGUCCAGCUGUGAGGCUGAGUACAUAGCGGCCUCCACCGCCUGUACUCAGGCGCUCUGGCUUGCUCGACUGCUUGGUGAUCUUCUCGUUCAAGACACCAGAACGGUGCAGCUCCUGGUGGACAGCAAGUCCGCCCUGGCCCUGGCAAAGAACCCCGUGUUC
rnacentral:rRNA from 1 species